CCUACGGGUGGCUGCAGUGGGGAAUAUUGUACAAUGGGCGCAAGCCUGAUGCAGCCAUGCCGCGUGUGUGAAGAAGGCCUUCGGGUUGUAAAGCACUUUCAGCGGGGAGGAAGGCGUUAAGGUUAAUAACCUUGGCGAUUGACGUUACCCGCAGAAGAAGCACCGGCUAACUCCGUGCCAGCAGCCGCGGUAAUACGGAGGGUGCAAGCGUUAAUCGGAAUUACUGGGCGUAAAGCGCACGCAGGCGGUCUGUCAAGUCGGAUGUGAAAUCCCCGGGCUCAACCUGGGAACUGCAUUCGAAACUGGCAGGCUAGAGUCUUGUAGAGGGGGGUAGAAUUCCAGGUGUAGCGGUGAAAUGCGUAGAGAUCUGGAGGAAUACCGGUGGCGAAGGCGGCCCCCUGGACAAAGACUGACGUUCAGGUGCGAAAGCGUGGGGAGCAAACAGGAUUAGAUACCCGGGUAGUC
rnacentral:rRNA from 1 species